UACGUAGGGGGCAAGCGUUGUCCGGAUUUACUGGGCGUAAAGAGCGUGUAGGCGGCCACGCAGGUCCGUUGUGAAAACUGGAGGCUCAACCUCCAGCUGUCGACGGAAACCGUAUGGCUAGAGUCCGGAAGAGGAGAGUGGAAUUCCUGGUGUAGCGGUGAAAUGCGCAGAUAUCAGGAAGAACACCAAUGGCGAAGGCAGCUCUCUGGGACGGUACUGACGCUGAGACGCGAAAGCGUGGGGAGCGAACAGG
rnacentral:rRNA from 1 species